rnacentral:rRNA from 1 species
UACAAGUACCGUGAGGGAAAGUUGCAAAGCACUUUGAAGAGAGAGUUAAAGAGGACGUGAAACCGGUAGGAUGGAAGCGGAUAGAGCCAGCGAAGCUGCUUGUAUUCAGCCGAAAACCAUGGGCUUCGGGCGGUUUGGAUGCUAACCACGCCUGACUGUCUGUUUGGGUCCGUGGCUGAGGUGCAUUUACGGGCAAUUGCGCUGAGACUUGUGGGAUAGCGGCUGGACAUGUGCAUAGAGGCUUCCCUCUGGGUUGAACCUUUGCACACCGACGGUUAUUUACCCUACUUGUUUGGGACUUGGCCUACGAGUCCGUUCGCUGGUGUUGGGCCUAUGGCCAAGAGAUCGCAUGCGAUCUCUAGUCUGGGCACUUCAGUUGUGGACGGUGCUCUCAAGUCCACUCUCGGUGUAGAAGCUGGUCAUCUAUCCGACCCGUCUUGAAACACGGACCAAGGAGUUUAGCGUAUGCGCAAGUCAUUGGGUGUUAAAAACCUAAAGGCGCAAUGAAAGUGAAGACCCAGUCGCUGGGUUUACAUGCGAAUGGUCGGACUUCGGUUCGGCCAUGCAGCAUGGUCCCGUUCCGAUUGCUUGCAAUGGAGCGGAGAUAGAGCGUAUGCGCUGAGACCCGAAAGAUGGUGAACUAUUCCUGAGCAGGACGAAGCCAGAGGAAACUCUGGUGGAAGUCCGAAGCGGUUCUGACGUGCAAAUCGAUCGUCUGACUUGGGUAUAGGGGCGAAAGACUAAUCGAACCAUCUAGUAGCUGGUUCCUUCCGAA